rnacentral:misc_RNA from 1 species
CUCAUAUAUAUGCAAAGUUCUCAUCAAUAGAGACGAAUUAAGUUCAAACAGCAGGUAAUUGCUAUAAAUCGUUAAAGAGUUCCCUCGACUAACUUUUGUCUCCAUCAUCAGACUGUAAUGGCACUUAUAACUCAUACAGGUGCAAAGUUCUCAUCAAUAGAAAUGAAUUAAGUUCAAAAAGCAGGUAAUUGCUAUAAAUUGUUGAAGAGUUCCCUCGACUAUCUUUCUUCUCCAUCAU